AAAUUGAAGAGUUUGAUCAUGGCUCAGAUUGAACGCUGGCGGCAGGCCUAACACAUGCAAGUCGAACGGUAGCACAGAGAGCUUGCUCUCGGGUGACGAGUGGCGGACGGGUGAGUAAUGUCUGGGAAACUGCCCGAUGGAGGGGGAUAACUACUGGAAACGGUAGCUAAUACCGCAUAACGUCGCAAGACCAAAGUGGGGGACCUUCGGGCCUCACACCAUCGGAUGUGCCCAGAUGGGAUUAGCUAGUAGGUGGGGUAACGGCUCACCUAGGCGACGAUCCCUAGCUGGUCUGAGAGGAUGACCAGCCACACUGGAACUGAGACACGGUCCAGACUCCUACGGGAGGCAGCAGUGGGGAAUAUUGCACAAUGGGCGCAAGCCUGAUGCAGCCAUGCCGCGUGUAUGAAGAAGGCCUUCGGGUUGUAAAGUACUUUCAGCGAGGAGGAAGGCGUUGUGGUUAAUAACCACAGCGAUUGACGUUACUCGCAGAAGAAGCACCGGCUAACUCCGUGCCAGCAGCCGCGGUAAUACGGAGGGUGCAAGCGUUAAUCGGAAUUACUGGGCGUAAAGCGCACGCAGGCGGUUUGUUAAGUCAGAUGUGAAAUCCCCGGGCUCAACCUGGGAACUGCAUUUGAAACUGGCAAGCUUGAGUCUCGUAGAGGGGGGUAGAAUUCCAGGUGUAGCGGUGAAAUGCGUAGAGAUCUGGAGGAAUACCGGUGGCGAAGGCGGCCCCCUGGACAAAGACUGACGCUCAGGUGCGAAAGCGUGGGGAGCAAACAGGAUUAGAUACCCUGGUAGUCCACGCCGUAAACGAUGUCUACUUGGAGGUUGUGCCCUUGAGGCGUGGCUUCCGGAGCUAACGCGUUAAGUAGACCGCCUGGGGAGUACGGCCGCAAGGUUAAAACUCAAAUGAAUUGACGGGGGCCCGCACAAGCGGUGGAGCAUGUGGUUUAAUUCGAUGCAACGCGAAGAACCUUACCUGGUCUUGACAUCCACGGAAGUUUUCAGAGAUGAGAAUGUGCCUUCGGGAACCGUGAGACAGGUGCUGCAUGGCUGUCGUCAGCUCGUGUUGUGAAAUGUUGGGUUAAGUCCCGCAACGAGC
rnacentral:rRNA from 2 species